rnacentral:misc_RNA from 1 species
CGUCCCUAGACCUUGCCAUGAGCUCUGC